GAAUGGGGAAACCCAGCAUGAGUUAUGUCAUGUUAUCCGCAUAUGAAUACAUAGUAUGUGAGAAGGCACACCCGGAGAACUGAAACAUCUUAGUACCCGGAGGAAGAGAAAGAAAACUCGAUUCCCUGAGUAGCGGCGAGCGAAACGGGAAGAGCCCAAACCAAUAGGCUUGCCUAUUGGGGUUGUAGGACACUCAAUACGGAGUUACAAAGGAAAUGAUUAGACGAAUGGUUUUGGAAAAGCCAACCAUAGAAGGUAAAGGUCCUGUAGUCGAAAGUCAUUUCUCUCCUGAGUGGAUCCUGAGUACGGCGGAACACGUGAAAUUCCGUCGGAAUCUGGGAGGACCAUCUCCCAAGGCUAAAUACUCUCUAGUGACCGAUAGUGAACCAGUACCGUGAGGGAAAGGUGAAAAGCACCCCGGAAGGGGAGUGAAAUAGAACCUGAAACCGUGUGCUUACAAAUAGUCAGAGCCCGUUAAUGGGUGAUGGCGUGCCUUUUGUAGAAUGAACCGGCGAGUUACGAUUUGAUGCAAGGUUAAGCAGUAAAUGUGGAGCCGUAGCGAAAGCGAGUCUGAAUAGGGCGAAUGAGUAUCUGGUCGUAGACCCGAAACCAAGUGA
rnacentral:rRNA from 1 species